CCUCUGCCCCUCUCACUCACUUUCCUCUCUCCAACUUUCUGUUGCUUGCCCUCCUUUACCAAACCACUCUGCGCCCCUCAGAUCGAGUGCUGCUAACAAUCCCCUUCCAAAUCAAGGGAUUGACAGGUGUGAGACAGUGAAAUCAAGAUAGCUGCAGCAGAGCCAAGCAGGGCUAGAAGCAAAAUCGAAUGGGCCAGCAGCAGAAUUGAGGGGGAUACGGUGGAAUCGAUGGGGUGAACGCAUACGAGCAAGGCGAAGGGCCUCUGUGGCGAUCCUAGACCGGACAAGCAUAUGGCUACCCUCGUUAAAGAUAGGUUUGGAUCUACAGAGCUUUAAAGAUAGGUUUGGAUCUACAGAGCAGUUGAAGGUUCUCUCAGGGCCUGUUCCCAGCGGACGCUCCCAUCCGGCCGAGCAGCUGCAUAUGCAGGUAAGCACUGGGUGAUUGGAUCUGCUCUCUCUUGCUCAGCUGUUGUAUUAGCUUGCAUCCUCAGUACUGCUAGUCUGCAAAUAUUUCCUCUUGCCUGAAUGCCUUUUAUAUUGGUACUACUACUAAAUGUUAUGAUAAUAUUGUCUAAUUGCCUGAAUCCCUGAA